ACGAACGCUGGCGGCGUGCUUAACACAUGCAAGUCGAACGAAGAGCGACGGAAGCUUGCUUCUAUCAAUCUUAGUGGCGAACGGGUGAGUAACGCGUAAUCAACCUGCCCUUCAGAGGGGGACAACAGUUGGAAACGACUGCUAAUACCGCAUACGAUCUAAUCUCGGCAUCGAGGAUGGAUGAAAGGUGGCCUCUACAUGUAAGCUAUCACUGAAGGAGGGGAUUGCGUCUGAUUAGCUAGUUGGAGGGGUAACGGCCCACCAAGGCGAUGAUCAGUAGCCGGUCUGAGAGGAUGAACGGCCACAUUGGGACUGAGACACGGCCCAGACUCCUACGGGAGGCAGCAGUGGGGAAUCUUCCGCAAUGGACGAAAGUCUGACGGAGCAACGCCGCGUGAGUGAUGACGGCCUUCGGGUUGUAAAGCUCUGUUAAUCGGGACGAAAGGCCUUCUUGCGAAUAGUGAGAAGGAUUGACGGUACCGGAAUAGAAAGCCCGGU
rnacentral:rRNA from 1 species